AGAUUCGAAGAAAUGCACACGCCUGCGGUGCUCGCAGAGAAGUCCCUCGGAAGCUAGGCGGGUCGCUUUCGCAACUGGGACUCCAAUGUUCCCAGUGGGAGCGGAGCUCUCACCGCGGCAGCCCCCAGGUUCCCCUAGGCGCCUUAGAGCAAAGGUGGCGGGGGAUCGCGCUGCCCUUCGCCCGCCGGCUCGGAACCAUGAACUUGUAUUCCGGGCGCCGCGCUCCUGCCACAGUGCUCGGCUAAAGAGCUCUAAGGAAUUCGGGAUCUGGGUACACUUCGGGAUCUCAGGCGGCAACCUGUCUGCGCCGCGCAUUCCUGCCCAGAUGUACCUUGUUUCCCCCUGGGCUGGCCUGUGGACUCUUGGGCAGCUCCCGGGCGGGGACGAGGGGAUGCGGUCUGGGGGCUAGUUUAGAAGCUUCGAGCGCAGCGAGAAAACAAAGGGAGCCUGGGGCUGGGAGGCUCUGCGGAGUCCCCGCCCGCCCUGCAGAUUAGCAGGCGCGUCGCGUCGGGGCUUCCCGGGCAGCUCUGCUCUGGGGAAUUAGAACGAACUCUAGCGGCCGUUUGCAACUCGGCUGUGGGCGCGAGGGCAUCAACAGGUGGCCGUGUGCAGCGGAGAGGCCAAUGGCGAGGACCCGGACUGGGGUGAGGACGGCUGGCCUUGGGGCUGACUGGGUGGCGGAUGCGCUGGGUGACCUUUUGGCUUUUUCAUUUCCGAGGCCGGGGAGAAGGAAGUAGCUAAAAGGUUUUUGUAAGUUCUGCCCUAGGGCUCUAAUUUCUGACAUACCCCUUGACUCCCCAGAAAUCCUUUGCAACAAAAAUUAAAACAGCUCAUAUGCAAAACUUUCUUAAUGGCCUGCACCUGUUUGUUCGGUUAUUGCUGAUGUAGGGUCUGUUUGUUUGCAUUUUAACCGCCCAUAAAACAAGAUUCUAUCCUGGGAAGGAGUCUCUUGCGUGAUGCUCGCGGACCUGAAAGGCGACCUGGAGGGGCUCUUACAGGAUUCUGUUAACUUCUUGAUGACUGUAAUCCAGCUUGGGCCACAUCUUUCUCAGCCUCAUUUGGUACCGGCUAAGAACCUAAUUUACUUGCCAUCAACAUCAGAAUUUACCGCUGCCUGAUCUCCUCCCAACCUCUGCCUCACCCAGGGUGAACCAAAAUUGUAAAAAGAAAAGAAAAAAAUAUGGGACCCUCCCCCCAUUCCCCCGCCUUGUCCCGUCCCGCCGGCCACACCAACUUCAACAUUUUUACAUCGCUUACCUUAUUAUGCCCCUUGCAGGCUAUUCCACGCCCUGCCCCCCCCCCCUUUAAAAUAAGUCUAGUUCUGUCUGUUUCCAUGGAAAUUACCCAAACCUUAACGAAGCUAUUCCUAUUUUGAGGCUGCACCUCCUCUGGAUGAUCAAUCACUUAGGAGGGUUUUCUAUAAGCCAAGUUUCCCUUGCUGCCACCUCACUGCCACCUGCUUCUGGCUGGGUGACAGAUUGUAUGUAGGGUGGAAUGGGCCAGGUGGGAGGGAAGCCAGGUAACCCUCUAAACAGUCUGCUGGGUUCUCAUAUCUUCAGAGCACUUGGAUCUCAUGGACACUAGCAAGGAUGAGGGGCUUCUGAUGUGUUGCAGUGUUUUAAAAUUGUUCAGAGUUUAGCAUGGACUGAACUUGCACCAUAUAAAGAGAAAACAAUGAGGAAUAAGACAAAGGUGGCUUUUGCUUUAUGUGGUAUGAUCCCUGUUUGCUUGAAGUAUACUCAUGGAGUAGACAGACCGUUAUCUGACAGUAUUUAGGAGCUUCAGAAUCAAUAAUGUUGGACAAGUAAAUGUUCAGCCAGGAAGUAACGUAUGCCACUUUCACUUACAACUCAUUGGUCAGAACUAAACACAAAGUUAACUGUAAAGAUCCAUGGAAGUAUUGUGUGCCUGGAAAUGGAGAGAAUGGGAAAGAUUUGCACUAAUAUGAUAGCACUAAGGACUAUCAUAAAUAAUAAUAGCAGUUCACAAUUAUUGAUCAUUUACCAUGUGCUGAGCCUUUUAUAUGUAUCAUCUCAUUGAAUCAUCACAAAAAUCUAUAUUUUGUCUUUAUUUUACCGAUAUAGAAACUGAGACUUAAAGAGCUUAAGUACUGUACCUUGCUCGACAUCACACAGAUGCUAAGUAAUGGAGUUGGAAUUUAAGCUUAAUUUUACCUGCUUCCCAGAGAAUAGACUUUUAAAACACUGUCCUCAACCACCUUUGGACUUAAUUGGUCCCCUGUUGUUGGGCAUUGGGUAGUUUCAAUUUUAUUCCAAUGAACAACCUUGUGUCAGAUCUUUUGAAUCAUCUGCGAUUACUUCCUUAGGAUAAAUUCCUAGGUACAUAUUUGCUUAGUUGAAAUAUACACACAUUUCAAGAAUAAAAACCUUUUGCAAAAAGUGAAAGCUUUAGGAGGUGUGGUAGUCUUCUAAGAUGGCUUUUUUCAAUCCUUUCCUUCCUUUUUUGAAAAAUACAUCACCAUUAAGAGGUGGAGUUUACUUCCCCUCCCUUGGAAUCUGGACUGGUCCUGUGAUUGCUUUGGAUGCAAUGAAAGUGAUAUUCUGAGACAUCUAAAUCCAAGUCUUAAGAGACUGGCAGUUUCUGUUUCCUUCCUUUUAGGGUCCUGCUGCCAUGCUGUGAGAAGCCGAAGUUUCAUGGAGAGGCCACAUGGAGUGAAAACAAAGGUGAUAGGGACAAUAGCUCCACCUGAGAUCCUGAUUAAUACACAGACUUUAGCCAUCUUGGAUGCUCCAGCCUAAUCGAUCUCCCACUUGACUCUAGUCUCACCUGACAUUAUGUAGAGGAAAACCAUCCAGCUCCACCUAGUCAACCCACAGAAUAAUGAGAUGAUCAUAAGACUGUAGUUGUUUAACAUUAUUAACUUUUGGGGUGGUUUAUUACACAGUGAUAGAUAAAUAAAAUGGGAGUUAUUA
rnacentral:lncRNA from 1 species